GAGGAAAAGAAACCAACAGGGAUUGCCUCAGUAGCGGCGAGUGAAGCGGCAAAAGCUCAAAUUUGAAAUCUGGCGUCUUUGGCGUCCGAGUUGUAAUUUGAAGAAGGUAUCUUUGGGCCCGGCUCUUGUCUAUGUUCCUUGGAACAGGACGUCACAGAGGGUGAGAAUCCCGUGCGAUGAGAUGACCCGGGUCUGUGUAAAGUUCCUUCGACGAGUCGAGUUGUUUGGGAAUGCAGCUCUAAGUGGGUGGUAAAUUCCAUCUAAAGCUAAAUAUUGGCGAGAGACCGAUAGCGAACAAGUACAGUGAUGGAAAGAUGAAAAGAACUUUGAAAAGAGAGUGAAAAAGUACGUGAAAUUGUUGAAAGGGAAGGGCUUGAGAUCAGACUUGGUAUUUUGCAUGCUGCUCUCUCGGGGGCGGCCGCUGCGGUUUACCGGGCCAGCAUCGGUUUGGAGCGGCAGGAUAAUGGCGGAGGAAUGUGGCACGGCUUCUGCUGUGUGUUAUAGCCUCUGACGAUACUGCCAGCCUAGACCGAGGACUGCGGUUUUUAACCUAGGAUGUUGGCAUAAUGAUCUUAAGUCGCCCGUCU
rnacentral:rRNA from 1 species